rnacentral:rRNA from 1 species
GAGUUUGAUCUUGGCUCAGAACGAACGCUGGCGGCAGGCUUAACACAUGCAAGUCGAACGGACGUAGCAAUACGUUAGUGGCGCACGGGUGAGUAACGCGUGGAUAUCUGCCUUUUGGUUCGGGAUAACCUUGGGAAACUAGGGCUAAUACCGAAUGGUUCCUACGGGAUAAAGAUUUAUCGCCAAAAGAUGAGUCCGCGUCCGAUUAGCUAGUUGGUGGGGUAACGGCCCACCAAGGCGAUGAUCGGUAGCUGGUCUGAGAGGAUGAUCAGCCACACUGGGACUGAGACACGGACCAGACUCCUACGGGAGGCAGCAGUAAGGAAUAUUGGACAAUGGUCGCAAGACUGAUCCAGCCAUGCCGCGUGCAGGAUGACUGCCCUAUGGGUUGUAAACUGCUUUUGUACGGGAAUAAACCCGGGUACGUGUACCCGGCUGAAUGUACCGUAAGAUAAGGGUCGGCUAACUUCGUGCCAGCCGCCGCGGU